CCACAACACAGAACAAUGACUUGCAGAUCAGCGAUAGCUUCAAGGUCUAAACUGGGCUUACGGGAUGACUUCUCGCAACACUCACCGAGCGUUCGAAAUCUGAGCUCCCCUCACCUCUAAAAGGGGUUGUUCAGGGUUUUCUGGAGCAGAAUUCAUGGCUCCAUCAGUCGCUCCCAGUUAUUCAGGCCCCGAAGCAGAAUAAGUCCCAGACCAUCCCACCACCAUCACCAUGUCUGGCAGUUGUAUGUAUGAUGCUCUUUUU